rnacentral:rRNA from 1 species
UAACAGCCUACCAAGGCGACGACGGGUAGCCGGCCUGAGAGGGCGACCGGCCACACUGGGACUGAGACACGGCCCAGACUCCUACGGGAGGCAGCAGUGGGGAAUAUUGCGCAAUGGGCGAAAGCCUGACGCAGCGACGCCGCGUGGGGGAUGAAGGCCUUCGGGUUGUAAACCCCUUUCGGCAGGGACGAAGCGAAAGUGACGGUACCUGCAGAAGAAGCGCCGGCUAACUACGUGCCAGCAGCCGCGGUAACACGUAGGGCGCAAGCGUUGUCCGGAAUCAUUGGGAGUAAAGAGCUGGUAGGUGGUCUGUUGCGUCCGCUGUGAAAACUUGGGGCUUAUCCCCGAGCUUGCAGUGGAUACGGGCAGACUAGAGGUAGGUAGGGGAGAAUGGAAUUCCCGGUGUAGCGGUGAAAUG